rnacentral:rRNA from 1 species
AGUGGGGAAUAUUGCACAAUGGGCGGAAGCCUGAUGCAGCGACGCCGCGUGAGGGAUGACGGCCUUCGGGUUGUAAACCUCUUUCAGCAGGGACGAAGCGAGAGUGACGGUACCUGCAGAAGAAGCACCGGCCAACUACGUGCCAGCAGCCGCGGUNAU